GCAGUGCCAUUAUUUUGAUAUAUAUUUAAUAUGUUGUUUUUAAUCUGUAUAGUGUCUUUAAACAUUCACAGCUGACAAAUUAGACAUGGGUCUUUAAUGUAAUUGAAAUGUGUUCAGCAUUUCCAUGCUUUUUUCAUGCAUAGUUAUUUUUAGGCUUGUUUACUUGGUUAAUCAGCCAAUCAUAUUGUCGCAUUGGUUGAAAUGUGUGGGCACAUGACUAGUAGUUCUGUGCAGAACAUAUUGAUGACAGCUAUAGUGACAUGUACUUUUGGGAGCUGUCAUAUGUUUUACUGGGUUUAAGUUUUGUUUGGAUUGUUUGGAUUCAGCACAGUUAAUACAGUUGCUGCACAGAGAACAGUGUGUUUGUGUGAGGUCAGAUGUCAGUAGAAUGUAGGAAACAAAGGGGUACUUGUGUUACACAUAAGACCCAACACUCUAUUACAGUGUUUUCAAGCGUAUUCCAUAUACAAGAGAAUGAUGUAUUGUUUGUAUUAUGUAUGAUGGACAGAAAAGUAAUAAACAUCUAGUAAA
rnacentral:lncRNA from 1 species